rnacentral:rRNA from 1 species
GACGAACGCUGGCGGCGUGCUUAACACAUGCAAGUCGAACGGAAAGGCCCUGCUUUUGUGGGGUGCUCGAGUGGCGAACGGGUGAGUAACACGUGAGUAACCUGCCCUUGACUUUGGGAUAACUUCAGGAAAGUGGGGCUAAUACCGGAUAGGAGCUCCUGCUGCAUGAUGGGGGUUGGAAAGUUUCGGCGGUUGGGGAUGGACUCGCGGCUUAUCAGCUUGUUGGUGGGGUAGUGGCUUACCAAGGCUUUGACGGGUAGCCGGCCUGAGAGGGUGACCGGCCACAUUGGGACUGAGAUACGGCCCAGACUCCUACGGGAGGCAGCAGUGGGGAAUAUUGCACAAUGGGCGGAAGCCUGAUGCAGCAACGCCGCGUGCGGGAUGACGGCCUUCGGGUUGUAAACCGCUUUCGCCUGUGACGAAGCGUGAGUGACGGUAAUGGGUAAAGAAGCACCGGCUAACUACGUG